UGGCUCAGUGGUAGAGCACUUGCCUUGCAUGCAUGAGGCCCUGGGUUCCAUUCUCAG
rnacentral:tRNA from 1 species